UGUCUCAGUAGCUCAGCUGGAUAGAGCAACGGCCUUCUAAGCCGUCGGUCGGGGGUUCGAAUCCCUUCUGGGACGU
rnacentral:tRNA from 2 species